GAUGAACGCUGGCGGCGUGCCUAAUACAUGCAAGUCGAGCGAACCAAAGAGAGCUUGCUCUCUGAGGUUAGCGGCGGACGGGGGAGUAACACGUGGGGAACCUGCCUGUAAGACGGGGAUAACUUCGGGAAACCGAAGCUAAUACCGGAUGAUAAAGAGAAACGCCUGUUUCUUUUUUGAAAGUCGGCCUUGUGCUGACGCUUACAGAUGGGCCCGGGGCGCAUUAGCUAGUUGGUGAGGUAACGGCUCACCAAGGCGAGGAUGCGUAGCCGACCUGAGAGGGUGAUCGGCCACACGGGGACUGAGACACGGCCCAGACUCCUACGGGAGGCAGCAGUAGGGAAGCUGCGGCAAUGGACGAAAGUCUGACCGAGCAACGCCGCGUGAGCGAUGAAGGCCUUCGGGUCGUAAAGCUCUGUUGUCAGAGAAGAACAAGUACCGGAGUAACUGCCGGUACCUUGACGGUACCUGACCAGAAAGCCACGGCUAACUACGUGCCAGCAGCCGCCGUAA
rnacentral:rRNA from 1 species